AGUGAACGCUGGCGGUAGGCCUAACACAUGCAAGUCGAACGGCAGCACAGUAAGAGCUUGCUCUUACGGGUGGCGAGUGGCGGACGGGUGAGGAAUACAUCGGAAUCUACUUUUUCGUGGGGGAUAACGUAGGGAAACUUACGCUAAUACCGCAUACGACCUACGGGUGAAAGCAGGGGAUCUUCGGACCUUGCGCGAUUGAAUGAGCCGAUGUCGGAUUAGCUAGUUGGCGGGGUAAAGGCCCACCAAGGCGACGAUCCGUAGCUGGUCUGAGAGGAUGAUCAGCCACACUGGAACUGAGACACGGUCCAGACUCCUACGGGAGGCAGCAGUGGGGAAUAUUGGACAAUGGGCGCAAGCCUGAUCCAGCCAUACGCGUGGGUGAAGAAGGCCUUCGGGUUGUAAAGCCCUUUUGUUGGGAAAGAAAAGCAGCAGGUUAAUACCCCGCUGUUCUGACGGUACCCAAAGAAUAAGCACCGGCUAACUUCGUG
rnacentral:rRNA from 1 species